rnacentral:tRNA from 1 species
UCCGGGAUAGCUCAGUCGGUAGAGCAGUUGGCUGUUAACCAAUUUGUCGUGGGUUCGAGUCCCUCUCCCGGAG